UACGUAGGGGGCAAGCGUUGUCCGGAUUUAUUGGGCGUAAAGAGCGUGUAGGCGGCCUGACAGGUCUGCUGUGAAAACUCGAGGCUCAACCUCGAGAUGUCGGCGGAAACCGUCUGGCCAGAGUCCGGAAGAGGAGAGUGGAAUUCCUGGUGUAGCGGUGAAAUGCGCAGAUAUCAGGAAGAACACCUAUGGCGAAGGCAGCUCUCUGGGACGGUACUGACGCUGAGACGCGAAAGCGUGGGGAGCGAACAGG
rnacentral:rRNA from 1 species